UAGCUAGUUGGUGAGGUAAAGGCUUACCAAGGCGACGAUCUGUAGCGGGUCUGAGAGGAUGAUCCGCCAUACUGGAACUGAGACACGGUCCAGACUCCUACGGGAGGCAGCAGUGGGGAAUUUUGGACAAUGGGGGCAACCCUGAUCCAGCCAUGCCGCGUGAGUGAAGAAGGCCUUCGGGUUGUAAAGCUCUUUCGGCCGGGAAGAAAUCGCAUGGGCCAAUACCCUGUGUGGAUGACGGUACCGGAAUAAGAAGCACCGGCUAACUACGUGCCAGCAGCCGCGGUAAUACGUAGGGUGCGAGCGUUAAUCGGAAUUACUGGGCGUAAAGCGUGCGCAGGCGGUUUUGUAAGACAGGCGUGAAAUCCCCGGGCUUAACCUGGGAACUGCGUUUGUGACUGCAAGGCUAGAGUACGGCAGAGGGGGGUGGAAUUCCACGUGUAGCAGUGAAAUGCGUAGAGAUGUGGAGGAACACCAAUGGCGAAGGCAGCCCCCUGGGUCGAUACUGACGCUCAUGCACGAAAGCGUGGGUAGCAAACAGGAUUAGAUACCCUGGUAGUCCACGCCCUAAACUAUGUCAACUAGGUGUUGGGUGGGUAAAACCAUUUAGUACCGUAGCUAACGCGUGAAGUUGACCGCCUGGGGAGUACGGCCGCAAGGUUAAAACUCAAAGGAAUUGACGGGGACCCGCACAAGCGGUGGAUGAUGUGGAUUAAUUCGAUGCAACGCGAAAAACCUUACCUACCCUUGACAUGCCAGGAACUUGCCAGAGAUGGCUUGGUGCCCGAAAGGGAGCCUGGACACAGGUGCUGCAUGGCUGUCGUCAGCUCGUGUCGUGAGAUGUUGGGUUAAGUCCCGCAACGAGCGCAACCCUUGUCGUUAAUUGCCAUCAUUUAGUUGGGCACUUUAACGAGACUGCCGGUGACAAACCGGAGGAAGGUGGGGAUGACGUCAAGUCCUCAUGGCCCUUAUGGGUAGGGCUUCACACGUCAUACAAUGGUCGGUACAAAGGGUUGCCAAGCCGCGAGGCGGAGCCAAUCCCAGAAAGCCGAUCGUAGUCCGGAUUGCAGGCUGCAACUCGCCUGCAUGAAGUCGGAAUCGCUAGUAAUCGUGGAUCAGCAUGUCACGGUGAAUACGUUCCCGGGUCUUGUACACACCGCCCGUCACACCAUGUAGCGGGUUCCGCCAGAAGUAGGUAGCCUAACCGCAAGGGGGGCGCUUACCACGGCGGGGUUCGUGACUGGGGUGAAGUCGUAACAAGGUAGCCGUAGGGGAACCUGCGGCUG
rnacentral:rRNA from 1 species